UACGUAGGGUCCGAGCGUUGUCCGGAAUUACUGGGCGUAAAGAGCUCGUAGGUGGUUUGUCGCGUUGUUCGUGAAAACUCACAGCUUAACUGUGGGCGUGCGGGCGAUACGGGCAGACUAGAGACUGCAGGGGAGACUGGAAUUCCUGGUGUAGCGGUGGAAUGCGCAGAUAUCAGGAGGAACACCGGUGGCGAAGGCGGGUCUCCGGGCAGUAACUGACGCUGAGGAGCGAAAGCGUGGGGAGCGAACAGG
rnacentral:rRNA from 1 species